UAUUGUGGUGCUAUACAAAGGCAAGGAAUCUUCACAGAUGUUCUACUGUGGUGGGUUUUUUUAAUUCUAGUAAAAACCUCAAGCAGUCGUUCCUCCUUCCAUCCCUCCUCACCUCCACAACCAGUGUCUGUACAGGGCAGUGUAUCUACACAGUAUACUGCCAUCACAAAGGAGAAAGAUAAGGAUGAAUCCCAAACUACUGCUUGUUACUAUACCUUGAACCUGGGGACCUCCAGCCACUCAGUGACACCAGCUGUCAACCCACCUUUAACAGAAGAGGAUCCCCUGUAUUAUUCAAUCGAAUAGGAAAGAUUGAGGGUAAUACUGUACUGCACUGUGUAUUCCAUGCCAUCUCUGUGGCUCAGCAGUCAGAGCUGAUUGUUCAAUAAAA